UGGACCUGAAUCAGCAAAGCACCAUCCGGCU
rnacentral:rRNA from 1 species